rnacentral:rRNA from 1 species
UACGUAGGGAGCAAGCGUUGUCCGGAAUCAUUGGGCGUAAAGCGCGCGUAGGCGGCCCUGUAAGUCCGUUGUGAAAGUCAAAGGCUCAACCUUUGAAAGCCGAUGGAUACUGCAGGGCUAGAGUCCGGAAGAGGCGAGUGGAAUUCCUGGUGGUAGCGGUGGAAUGCGCAGAUAUCAGGAGGAACACCAAUGGCGAAGGCAGAUCUCUGGGCCGUAACUGACGCUGAGGAGCGAAAGCAUGGGGAGCGAACAGG